rnacentral:rRNA from 1 species
AGCAGCUCACUGGGUGUAAAGCGUGCGCAGGCGGUUUUGUAAGACAGAGGUGAAAUCCCCGGGCUCAACCUGGGAACUGCCUUUGUGACUGCAAGGCUGGAGUGCGGCAGAGGGGGAUGGAAUUCCGCGUGUAGCAGUGAAAUGCGUAGAUAUGCGGAGGAACACCGAUGGCGAAGGCAAUCCCCUGGGCCUGCACUGACGCUCAUGCACGAAAACGUGGGGAGCAAACA